AACCAAGGUGAUUCCCUCUCCAAGGGGCCUACUAGUGCCUCUCUUCAGGAAAGUAGCAACUUGGAAUAAAAUCUGGCAUGCCUCAGGUUUCCAGGGGAGGAGAUUUUCUUUCCCUUCUUUGGCUGCCUACAUGU
ensembl:snoRNA small nucleolar RNA, H/ACA box 67